rnacentral:rRNA from 1 species
UACGUAGGGUGCAAGCGUUAAUCGGAAUUACUGGGCGUAAAGCGUGCGCAGGCGGUUUUGUAAGUAAGAUGUGAAAUCCCCGGGCUUAACCUGGGAACUGCGUUUGAAACUACAAGGCUAGAGUGUGGCAGAGGGGGGUGGAAUUCCACGUGUAGCAGUGAAAUGCGUAGAGAUGUGGAGGAACACCGAUGGCGAAGGCAGCCCCCUGGGUUAACACUGACGCUCAGGCACGAAAGCGUGGGGAGCAAACAGG